rnacentral:pre_miRNA from 1 species
GUUGAGGAGAGUGAUGUCUGGUUCGAAAUCAUUUUAUAGAAAGUUAGUGAGGAUCGAUCGAUCCAAUUAUUGGUGUCUGGGUCAUUGAACUUUAUGUAUGUAUGAAAAGUAAGUACAGUAUGUAUCUUUUAAACCAUAGAGAUGUCUAAAUUCUAGAUCCGUCACAGAUUAGAUUGUUUGAUCAAUCAAUUUGAUGAGUGAUUUCGAACCAGGCUUCAUUCCCCUCAAC